ACCAAAACGACUCUCGGCAACGGAUAUCUAGGCUCUCGCAUCGAUGAAGAACGUAGCGAAAUGCGAUACUUGGUGUGAAUUGCAAAAUCCCGUGAACCAUCGAGUUUUUGAACGCAAGUUGCGCCCGAAGCCAUUAGGCUGAGGGCA
rnacentral:rRNA from 1 species